UAAGAGCGAAACCGGGAAGAAGCUCUGUGCCUGUGGGGAACCCGCCGCCAUCUCAGUUCUCUUGGCCUAGCCAGUGCCCACCGGAGAAAGAUCUGACGCCCAGGUCCUGUAAUCCUUAUGGGGGACCAUCCUUGUACCUCCGGGAGAUCCACGCUCCCACCUGGAAACACACGGGAAGCCAAGCCUCCAAAAAAGCGCUGCCUCCUUGCUCCCCGGUGGGAUUAUCCGGAAGGAACCCCGAACGGUGGUAGUACCUCUCUCCCCUCUGCACCUCCUCCUGCAUCACCCAGCCUGAAGUCGCACCCGCCUCCUCCGGAGAAGUAGUAGAAUAUACUUCAUCCACCCCAAACCAGACACUGAGGGAUAGCGGUAUGACUCUGUUUCCUUGGUGCAUUCGUAAAAUAGUUAACCCAGUGAAGACAAUGAAGAACAUUGAUAAUGCUAUCCUGCUUUUUCUGAUAUCCUGCACCGGGAAGUUGUGGUUUUUAAGUCUUAUGAUAUGAUCAGCAUAAUUUCAUCUCCUGAAUUUGGAUGAAUUCUGGGACAUAACCAAGAUCAGGCUGUAGACAUUUAAGAUUGAAGGCCAUGGCCUGGAUCAUGGUGAACCCACCAAAGCAAAUAAUUCCUGUGAGAUGGUCCUGCAGCAGCCAGUCAAUGCUCUGUUUUGUUGGCACAGCCCUUGCUGCAUAAUUUUGAAUUCCUAUAAAUCCAUUAAGGUCACAAUAAAUUUUUUCUUUCAUUUUA